GAACUUCAACAUUAUGCACUCCACACUGUACAUUAAUGCCACUGUUUUGCACAUGUCCGACUACCAACCUCUGUAUAUUUUAUAUAUCUUAUUUUAUUGUUUACUUUAUUUCAUUUGUAAAACAUGUAUAUACACACUAUAUACACACUCACACACACACAUGUAGAAAAACAUAUUUAGUAUACACAUUCAGUAAUGUAUAUACCUUUAUAUAUUGUACAUAUAUUUAUUACUUUUUAGAUUAGCCAUUUUUAUAUUUUGCUUGUUUUACGUUAUUGUAUUUUUGCACAACUCUGUUGCUUGUGAAGCUCGCACACAAGAAUUUCACUCGCAUGUACUGUACCAGUGUACCUGCACAUGUGACGUGACAAUAAAAGUGAUUUGAUUUGAUUUGAAGAGGCAGACAAAUAUCAGACACAUGAUGUUUGUAUGUGAAACGCUCUCCAUGAGCUGUCAGUCAAACAGGUAAAACAUGCAGACACGUGCAUUUGUCAUAAUCUGAUCAGGAUCUUGGGCGUGAUUGGAAACGGCGUCUGAAGCCAGGACUACGUGAUGUGAGCUGGUUCUCUUUAAGAAACAUGUGCUGCUCAGAAAGUGUAAUCAGGUGUUUCACGUCUUCUUUCAGGUAAAACUACAAACACGAUGCAGCCGCUUCAGGACGGCGAGCCUCGUCCCUCAAUGCCAGAAGCUCCAGCUGAGAACCCAAGAGUCCACCAGAGUCCCAAUGAAGCAGCUCUCUGCUGGAGCACAGACCCAGGUCACCUUCCAGAGGACGACGAGCAGGAGGCACAUGAUCCAGAUCCACCUCAGGACCAGCUGGAGGUCCAGGAAGUAAAGCAGGGUCCAGCAGCUGAUGACCAAGAGGCGGGAGGCCAGGAGCAGAAGGAGGACAGAGAGAAACACAGAGAUGGCGGCUCAAGGCCGCCAGCCUGAGAGAUGUUCUGAACCUGGGCCUGCGGUCGAAGAAGCAGUGCUGCAGAAAGCAGGCGGACCCUCAGACCUGGUGACCUUCGCGGCGGUGAGUGCGAGCAGGCCGACCUCCGGCAGCGACAGAGAAGACGUGACCUGCUGCGACCUGCUGUCUCUGAAGAGCGACUCGGUAUCUUUGGCCAGCGAGUCCAACGUGUUCAGGAGGGUGAGUGAAAGACGAAGAGCCGGGGCCUUCACGCAGACUUCUGUUUCCGGAAAUGCCGAGCAGCUGUUGGGAUUGGUUUACACCAGCCCGACAGCUGCACCUGUACGAGCGCUGCUGCGUGUUCGUGAGUCUGACAGUAAUGAAGUGUUACACAAAUCUGCGUCCGUGCACACAGAAACACAGAAACAUUAUGUGACAUCACUCCUCACUCUGAACACGGCACGCCAAAAUAAAAGCACAAAAAACAGGAAAGAUUUGCUAUAAAUAGUUCACAGCAACGUCUUUUACGAGCCGAUGUGUUGCUUUGGACCGAGAUGAUUUCUGUGGUUUUAGGCAUAAAGAAGAAUCAUGCUUCCAUGAUUAACUUAUUUAUUUAUCCAUCAUGGACUGAGCACAGAAACGCGGAGCUCAUUAGAAAGCUCUGUGGGCAGGUACACACUGAAUCAGAUAUAAUAUCCAUGUGCAUAUCCAGGAUGCAGAUCCAGUGUCCACAAGCAGAGAACUAGUUUCUUACAGUGCAGUUUGUUCCACGAUGAGGACAGAGGGGAGGGUCUGCAUAUUAACAGGUCACUCGACGAUUUUUAAGCAUCCAUAACAUUUGCUGUUUGUUUAUAGUGAUGUCACUGGUGACAUCACGUGGUCACGGUUUGUUCAGAACAAGCCUUGAGUAAGAGUCAGACAACACUACAGCUCUCAGCUGUUAACAUGUUACAUGUUUGAAUUUUUGAAUGGAGUCUGGUGUGUGGCUGAGGUUCUCGUCACGUUUUACCCAGACUGUGAUGUCAACAGAACCAAAACUAAACCGUAAGUGAAACAGGAAGACCCGCCUUCUCCCAUCCAUGUUUAUCACGGUGGUAAUAAAGUGUAACACAAAAACUAUUGUGUUUAAUUUAUUUUUGAUGGGUUUAUCAUUUAUUAAUGGGUGCUGUGAAGUUCGUUGACCUUAACCUGAAGGAUGAGGUUGAAUGGAGAAACAGGAGGUGUGCUGGCGCACAGCCUCAGGUGAUGUCAGGUGAGCUCAGCCUCAGCAAGGCUCCGUCUACAUUUUCAUUCAGGUUUUUUUAUGCGAUCAAAUCUGUUUCACCUUUGCCGCUCUGCGUUGUAGAUCUGAGUAAUCACACGUGUUCGCGCCCUCUCGUUCAGCCUCUCACGUUUACAUUUGCACGCCGGCGAGGAAAAGCUGACCCCAUCUUGUCGAGAUGAACCUCGUGGACUGAACAGACUCCCGCCCUCUGCAGAGGUAUCAUCAUGCAGGCUCGCCUUCAUUUGGCGGCAGGCUCCGCAUUCCCCCCGCCGAACAAGGCUACAGCGUAAUCAUAAUUCUCUUGACCUCCAGUGACCCCUGCGAGGCUCUGACAACGAGGGCCACACCACACAACAGACGGCGCCGCCUGCUCCAAAAUGGCUUUUUCAUUUCUUGAACAAUCACGCGGCGGCGGUGCUAAAUGAGAGGGCAGAUUACAUAAGGCGGGGGUUCCUGGGGUGAGAUGAGAGCUUUUUCUCCAAAACGCCGCAGCCGUUAUCGCUCUCAUUAAAUUCCUCCUCUGACUCGGAGCCUGCUUUGAAUCCAUCCAUCGGAACAACACGGCGGCUGGAAAUUCUCAAUUAAUAUGUUAAUGUGUGCGAGAUGUUUCAUCACAGGAAGCAGAGCUCAGCGCACUCACAGGUUAGCGCCAAAUUACAGAAGACCCACAAACAGCAUCAUCCAAGCCCACAGCGGCGCUUUGGAGCAGGACCGUUCAGCAGGAACGGGCCCUGAAGGAGUUCCAAUAGAACCCUCCCAUCCACAGAUGUUUUCCAUAAACAUACUGUUGGUUGUUAUUUAGCUCGUGCUCCAGGGCCGAUACGUCCAUGAGACCGAGUUUGUGGAUCGGGGAUUAAAUGAGUGAACGUUACCUGAAGUGUCGCCUUACGCUCACAUCGACAUCAGAGCUGUGUAAAAGUAAAAGCUGGGCUUUUUUCUGCCUCUCUGUGCUUUGGAUACGCUUUCUCCUUGGAUGCAUGUAUGAAGAACUGAAUUAAAUUCACACUUUAUGCUGUUAAACUGUGAAUAAAAAUUAUACUUUUGUGUCUUUUGCCAUUACUUU
rnacentral:lncRNA from 1 species